rnacentral:rRNA from 1 species
CCUACGGGAGGCUGCAGUGAGGAAUAUUGGUCAAUGGCCGAGAGGCUGAACCAGCCAAGUCGCGUGAGGGAUGACGGCCCUACGGGUUGUAAACCUCUUUUGUCGGGGAGCAAAGAGAGUCACGUGUGGCUCAUUGAGAGUACCCGAAGAAAAAGCAUCGGCUAACUCCGUGCCAGCAGCCGCGGUAAUACGGAGGAUGCGAGCGUUAUCCGGAUUUAUUGGGUUUAAAGGGUGCGCAGGCGGAGGUGCAAGUCAGUGGUCAAAUUGCGGGGCUCAACCCCGUACUGCCGUUGAAACUGCAGCCCUUGAGUGCGCGAGAAGUAGGCGGAAUGCGUGGUGUAGCGGUGAAAUGCAUAGAUAUCACGCAGAACUCCGAUUGCGAAGGCAGCAUACCGGCGCGCAACUGACGCUCAUGCACGAAAGCGUGGGUAUCGAACAGGAUUAGAUACCCCUGUAGUC